CAUUGCACGCGGAAACCUGCCAGGACUGGAGGGCUGGCAGAGAUGGCCAGCCGGGGGCGGGGGGAGGGGUGUGGAGGGUGAGCAGUGAUUGCUGACUGGUGGCCAGCUGCGGAGCUCCGAGGGGCCAGUGUGGACAAGUGUGCAUGGCUGAGGCUGCAGCAAACCCAUGGCUGUGAGCAUCUGAGGCCUGAGGCCUGAGAACCUCCCAAGAAGAUGAGGCUGGUGACCCAAAUAGACCAGGCUGGGGAAGCAGCCAGCGGUGGCUGACACACACUGUCUGUCACCUUCUACUUGGUGGCCAUGUUCUAUCUCCAGCUCCUCCUGCCAUUUAUCCCAGAUCGAAUGCAGGGAAUUUGGAACAAACAGACAGACUGGAUGGAGACACACGGGUGCCUGCGUAAGGAGUUAGGAAAUGCGCCCCAACAGGUGUUCCUC
rnacentral:lncRNA from 12 species